rnacentral:misc_RNA from 1 species
GAUUAAGAACGUAGUGAAAUGCGAUAAGUAGUGUGAAUUGCAGAAUUCAGUGAAUCAUCGAAUCUUUGAACGCACAUUGCGCCCCUUGGUAUCCCGAGGGGCAUGCCUGUUCGAGCGUCAUUUCACCACUCAAGCCUGGCUUGGUGUUGGGCGACGUCCCCUUUAGGGACGCGCCUCGAAACGCUCGGCGGCGCGGCACCGGCUUUAAGCGUAGCAGAAUCUUUCGCUUUGGAAGUCGGGGCCCCGCCUGCCGGAAUACCUACUUGUAAGGUUGACCUCGGAUCAGGCAGGGAUACCCGCUGAACUUAAGCAUAUCAAUAAGCGGAGGA